UACGGAGGGGGUGCAAGCGUUUAUCCGGAUUUUACUGGGGGUUUUAAAAGGGGGUGCGCAGGGCGGAUAUGUAAAGUCAGUGGUGAAAAUCUCCCGGGGGCUUUAACCCCCGGGAAACUGCCGUUUGAUACUAUAUAUCUUUUGAAAUGCUGUGGAGGUAAGCAGAAUAUGUCAUGUAGCGGGUUGAAAAUGCUUUUAGAGAUGACAUAGAAUACCCUAUUUUUUUUUUGCGAAGGCAGCUUUACUACGCAGAUAUUUUGACGCUUCAUUGCACGAAAAGCGUUGGGGGGGGGGAUUCAAAACAGGGAUUUAGAAAAACCCCCCUUGUAGUUCCCAGACCCAAAGUUCCUCUUGCUACCCG
rnacentral:rRNA from 1 species